UGAAGUAAGGUAGAUUAGUAAGGU
rnacentral:miRNA from 1 species